rnacentral:rRNA from 1 species
GAGUGGCGAACGGGUGAGUAACACGUGGGUAACCUGCCCAUCAGAAGGGGAUAACACUUGGAAACAGGUGCUAAUACCGUAUAACACUAUUUUCCGCAUGGAAGAAAGUUGAAAGGCGCUUUUGCGUCACUGAUGGAUGGACCCGCGGUGCAUUAGCUAGUUGGUGAGGUAACGGCUCACCAAGGCCACGAUGCAUAGCCGACCUGAGAGGGUGAUCGGCCACACUGGGACUGAGACACGGCCCAGACUCCUACGGGAGGCAGCAGUAGGGAAUCUUCGGCAAUGGACGAAAGUCUGACCGAGCAACGCCGCGUGAGUGAAGAAGGUUUUCGGAUCGUAAAACUCUGUUGUUAGAGAAGAACAUGGAUGAGAGUAGAACGUUCAUCCCUUGACGGUAUCUAACCAGAAAGCCACGGCUAACUACGUGCCAGCAGCCGCGGUAAUACGUAGGUGGCAAGCGUUGUCCGGAUUUAUUGGGCGUAAAGCGAGCGCAGGCGGUUUCUUAAGUCUGAUGUGAAAGCCCCCGGCUCAACCGGGGAGGGUCAUUGGAAACUGGGAGACUUGAGUGCAGAAGAGGAGAGUGGAAUUCCAUGUGUAGCGGUGAAAUGCGUAGAUAUAUGGAGGAACACCAGUGGCGAAGGCGGCUCUCUGGUCUGUAACUGACGCUGAGGCUCGAAAGCGUGGGGAGCGAACAGGAUUAGAUACCCUGGUAGUCCACGCCGUAAACGAUGAGUGCUAAGUGUUGGAGGGUUUCCGCCCUUCAGU